rnacentral:rRNA from 1 species
GGAUUAGAUACCCUGGUAGUCCACGCCGUAAACGAUGGUCACUAGCUGUUCGGACUUCGGUCUGAGUGGCCAAGCGAAAGUGAUAAGUGACCCACCUGGGGAGUACGUUCGCAAGAAUGAAACUCAAAGGAAUUGACGGGGGCCCGCACAAGCGGUGGAGCAUGUGGUUUAAUUCGAUGAUACGCGAGGAACCUUACCAGGGCUUAAAUGCAGUUUGACAGGGAUAGAGAUAUCCUUUUCUUCGGACAGAUUGCAAGGUGCUGCAUGGUCGUCGUCAGCUCGUGCUG